rnacentral:rRNA from 1 species
UUGUGGCUUCCCAUCGGAAAUGGGCNCAAUAUAAUUCUUUUAAACGAGGAUNUAUUANAAGGGCAAGUUUUGGUGCCAGCAANCCGCGGUAAUUCCAGCUCUAAUAGUGAUAUUAAAAUUGUUGUGGUUAAAACGCCNGUAGUUGGAUCUUCGGUCUUGAAGCUCAGUAGCCCGUAAGGGUUUAACUGAGUCUUCUGGCCUCGAUUCUAGUUUUCUCCUGAUGCUCUUUAUUGAGUGUCUUGAGUAGCUAGGAAUUUUACUUUGAAAAAAUUAGAGUGCUAAAAGCAGGCUAUACGCUUGAAUAAAGUGCAUGGAAUAAUGGAAUACGACUUUAGUCUUAUUUUGUUGGUUUUCGAGAUUAAAGUAAUGAUUAAGAGGAACAGCCGGGGGCAUUUGUAUUGUUGCGUUAGAGGUGAAAUUCUUGGAUCGCAGCAAGACAAACAACUGCGAAAGCAUUUGCCAAGAAUGUUUUCAUUAAUCAAGGACGAUAGUUAGAGGUUCGAAGGCGAUCAGAUACCGCCCUAGUUCUAACCGUAAACGAUGCCAACUAGCGAUCCGCCGGCGUUAAAAUUUGACUCGGCGGGCAGCUUCCGGGAAACCAAAGUUUUGGUUCCGGGGGAAGUAUGGUUGCAAAGCUUAAACCUAAAGGAAUUGACGGAAGGGCACCACAAGGAGUGGAGCCUGCGGCUUAAUUUGACUAAGGGC